rnacentral:lncRNA from 1 species
UACCAACCAAUUUCAUUUGUAUAAACACACAUAUAGUUUAACUAUUAAUAAACACUACAUUUAAAAGGGAAUCAUAACAUAUAUUUACAUGAUGAUCCCACAUUACAUAAAUUGUCUAUACAUGCCAUAAAAUUUCGGAACACUAGUAGUAAAAUACCCCAAAUGUGAAGGAUAGUGUAGAUGAUUGUCUGACUUCGUUCCAAUUUCCGAGUUGUUGGAAGCCACUAUAACCAAGAGAAAAAUAAAAUCGAGUAAGCAUAUAGCUUAGUAAGUAAGCACAUGAUAAAUAAGUAAUUACUCCCAUAACUACACCAAAAUAUAAACUUAUUCAUGAAUAACUUUAUUGUUUAGGCAAUUUCCAGCAAGCUGUUUUUCUGCGUCAUAGUCGCUAAUUUAUUUUUAUCUGGAGCUACAGGGCUCCAAAUUGAGUUCCGUAAAUUUUCCCUGAAACUAGACUCAUAUACCAUUUCACCAUAAAAAUUUCAGAAUUUUUAACCCAGACAAUUAGUACAGUUUAUUCAUUAAACCUUCCCCUGUUUCACUGCCCAACGGUUCUGACCCUUACUCACUAAAAUUCACUUAACUCUCUGUACAAAAUUUGAAAAAUGGUUUCGCUUGUUUCUAAUAAAAAUAGACUCAAUAAGGAUUCCAGGGAUAUAAAUUUCAUGCCAUAAUUAUUUUUUUUCAAUUUUUGGUAAUUUUCCAAAGUUAGAACAGGGGAUCUCGAAAUCAAUCCAGCCCUGUUUCAGUAAAAUUCAGAUAUCUCCAAAAAUACAACUCCUUUGCUUAUUCUAUUUCUUUCAUAUGAGAAUAGAUACAUUCAACUUCAAUUUCAUAUAUUAUUCAGCUUCCCAUUCAUUUUCCACCAUUUAUGGUGAUUUUUUCAAAGUUACCCAAUUGCUGUUGUUCAACACAGUUUAUAAUUAAAUCGUUCCUUUUGCGUUUUUGAUAUUU